GACGAACGCUGGCGGCGUGCCUAAUACAUGCAAGUCGGACGAGUGGCGGACGGGUGAGUAAUGCUUGGGAAUCUGGCUUAUGGAGGGGGAUAACGACGGGAAACUGUCGCUAAUACCGCGUACCAUAGGAUGAGCCCAAGUGGGAUUAGGUAGUUGGUGGGGUAAUGUCCUACCAAGACGACGAUCUGUAGCUGGUCUGUGAGGAUGACCAGCCAAACCUGUACUGAGCCACGGCCCGGACUCCUACGGGAGGCAGAAGUGGUGAAUAUUGCGCAAUGGGGGCAACCUGACGCAGCCAUGCCGCGUGAAUGAAGAAGGCCUUCGGGUUGUAAAGUUCUUUCGGUGACGAGGCGUUAAUCACAGAAGAAGCACCGGCUAACUCCGUGCCAGCAGCCGCGGUAAUUC
rnacentral:rRNA from 1 species